GCCUGGAUCUGACCAGUCCUUGCCGUGUGCACAUGUCAAUAGGCCACAGGGAGCACCAGCGUAUGCACACCCACGGGGACCCCCAAGAUGAGUAAAUAAAUGAGUGACGGGGCAGCAGAGGAAGGAGAAUGGGGGGGGGGGACCCAGGGCCAGGUCAGAUUCCAUGUAUGUAUGGUUUUGUCAAAAUGAACCCGGCUGUUAUGUGUGACUAUGACGCACUCAUUAAAAAGAAGUCUGCGAGACCAGGGACAGAGCCACCAAGUCACGUGCAGCUGACCGUCCCGAGAGCUGAGAGAGGUGGUCGGUGCUGCCCCCAGGCCCAGAAGCCCAGGCUACACAAGCACUGAGAAGUGUUCCCGGAGAGACAGGCCCUGGCUCAGCUCCAGGGCUGCAUUAGCCCUGCACUAAAUGCCACCCUGUCCCUGCCACAACACAGGGAGGACUGGAAAUGACCCACCGGGUCCCAACUUGACUGUCCCCAGACUCCAGCCAGGAAAGACAGUGCAAUCUGACCCCCACAGAGAAACAGCCCCUUCCUCCAGCAGAAAUCAACUCAGGAGCCAGAGAGCUGUGACCCGCCUGUAUGACUGUGUCAUGUUCUGUGCUGACACUGGGUGACGGGGACACAGCUUCUACCUUCUACAUCCACAAAUGUUGGAAAUUUGAGAGAAUUAAGACGAGACCCCUCCUGACCACUUCCUUCUCUCUGCCAUGCCCAGUUGUCCGUGGUCACUGUCUCCAGUUCUCCUGGAGCCCUCCCUGCUCGGGCACUCAGGUGACCUUCUCCACAUUGCUGAGUCCCUGCGUCCCCUGACCCAGGAGUAGCUGUGACAGCCCGGUCCUGCCUGCAGCAUGCCAGGGCUUGGCCCCCCUCCGCCCAUCGCUGGAUGCCCUGCAAGCUAAGGACCGUGUCUCCAGGCCAACACUCCCUCUGAGCCCGCACCCAGAUGGUCAGCGGCCUGCGGGUGCCCUCGCUGGGCAUUUCUCAGAGUAAAGCAUCUCCCACUGAGCUCCUGGCCCUCCCCCAACACCACAGUCCCCUGUCCCCUUCUCUGCUCCAGCAAAUAGCAACUUCACUGUCCUUGAGGUCAGGGUGGCCUCUUCUGCACACCCCACAUCUGACCCCCAAGCAAAUACUCUGGUUCCACUUUCAGAUCCGAGCCUCAGCAGGACCACUUCCCACCGUGAGGAGUGCCGUCACUAUGGUCCACGUCACCACCUAAAUCACACUCUGACUUGUGGCUAAGUCCCUUGCAUUUUCCUGUUUUUGUCCUUGUCCAUUAUUGGUGGUCCUUCAGGAAUCCAGAAGGACCCUGUUAAAACACAAUCCAGACAAUGUGACUCCCCUGUUCCAAACCCUCCCUGAUUUCCCAUCUCACUCAUCAUGGCCUACGAGGUCCCCUCGACCUUCUCCCCCAUACACCCCCUCUGACCUCAGCUCCAAUAACUCCCCCUCACUGGCUCACUCAGGUCACCCUGCCCUCUCUGAGUUUCUUAGGUGAGGCACACUGUGGCCACAGGGCCUUUGCAGAGAUAUUCCAUCACCUUCAAUAUUCACCCCCACCCAAAGGCCAUGCUCUAGUUUCCUUCAAGUCUGUCCUCAAAUGUCACUUUCUUGUGAACCUUUUUUCAGUCAAAUCACUUACUCUUUCAAGCAUUCCUGCAACAGUGCCCCCUGCUUCUUCCCUGUUGUAUCUUUCUCCAUGGCAUUUUUCAUCUUCUAGAAUAUUCUACACUGGUUCCUUUUGUUCAUCAUCUAUCUUGUCCAUAGCCACCAGCAGGGCAAGAAUUUUGACCUGAUUUUCUUUACUAUUCUACCCUCAUCUAGAAAGAAUAGAAUCUGACACAAACAGGCAUAUCAUAAAGUUUUGUCUUAGUUGCUUAAUUUGUACCUUGUCCUUUGUUUUUGUUUUCAUUUUAGUAUUGGGGAUUGAACCCAGGGGCACUCAACCACUGAGCCACAGCCACAGCCCCUUUCGUGUAUUUUAUUUAGAGACGGGGUCUCGCUGAGUUGCUUAAGACCUUGAUACCUUGCUGAGGCUGGCUUUGAACUUGGAAUCCUCCUGGUUCAGCCUCCUGAGCUGCUGGAAUUACAGGUGUGCACCACUGCACCCGGCUUCUAUCCCUUCUUUUGCU
rnacentral:lncRNA from 1 species